GGCCCCUUGGCCUAAUGGUAAGGCGUUGCUUUCCGGUUGUCGCUUCUCGACUAGCUUCGAGAUCAUGUACGCUGCUGGCAAAGAUUCUGGGUUCGAGUCCCAGGGGGGUCG
rnacentral:tRNA from 1 species